rnacentral:misc_RNA from 1 species
GAUGAAGAACGCAGCAAAAUGCGAUAAGUAAUGUGAAUUGCAGAAUUCAGUGAAUCAUCGAAUCUUUGAACGCACAUUGCGCCCGCUGGUAUUCCGGCGGGCAUGCCUGUUCGAGCGUCAUUUCAACCCUCAAGCCCCCGGGUUUGGUGUUGGGGAUCGGCUCUGCCCUCUGGGCGGUGCCGCCCCCGAAAUACAUUGGCGGUCUCGCUGCAGCCUCCAUUGCGUAGUAGCUAACACCUCGCAACUGGAACGCGGCGCGGCCAUGCCGUAAAACCCCAACUUCUGAAUGUUGACCUCGGACCAGGUAGGAAUACCCGCUGAACUUAAGCAUAUCAAUAAGCGGAGGA